rnacentral:tRNA from 1 species
GGAGAGGUGGCCGAGUCGGCCGAAGGCGCUCGCCUGCUAAGCGGGUAUAGGCCUUAAAAGCCUAUCGAGGGUUCAAAUCCCUCCCUCUCCG